rnacentral:ribozyme from 1 species
AGAGGUCACAAGUUUGAGGCCAUAGCAGAAGCUCUCGCAGUGUAGCCCUGUCAGAUUCCAACAAAUCUGCUAAUUCUACU